rnacentral:rRNA from 1 species
GUCCUUUUGUUUAUAAUUUAAGGUCUGGCCUGCCCACUGAAUUUUUAAAUGGCCGUGGUAUUUUGACCGUGCUAAGGUAGCAUAAUCAUUAGUUUUUUAAUUGAAAACUGGAAUGAAGGGUUAUAUAAAAAAAUAGCUGUCUCUGUUUAAUUUUAUUAUAAUUUUAUUUUUAAGUUAAAAAGCUUAAUUAAAUUUAAAAGACGAGAAGACCCUUUAGAGUUUAAUUAUUUAAUGAAAAUUUUAUUUUAGGAUUAAUUUAAAAUAUUUUAAGAAUAAUUUAAUUGGGGUGAUUGAAAAAUUAAAUUAACUUUUUUUUAUUUAGUCCAUAAAUUUAUGUAAUAUUGAUCCAAUAUUUUUGAUUAUAAGAUAAAAUUACCUAAGGGAUAACAGCGUAAUUUUUUUUGAAAGUUCACAUUGAAAGAAAAGAUUGCGACCUCGAUGUUGGAUUAAAAUUAAUUUUUGGUGUAGAAGCUAGAAUAUUUGGUCUGUUCGACCAUUAAAAUUUUACA